CGCACCUUCAUCAGCGAAAGGCUGUUCCGGAGUAGUAGACAGUUUUGUGUAACACUUCAUUUCUUUUACUGGCUACGUUUCUGUCGCUGAAUCACCUGGUGGAAGAUGGCUAGAUCAUUUCCUAAAACGGUUAACCAUGUGUCAAUAGUGAAAAAAACUGUCUAUGUACAUUCCCCACUUCACAGACGUCUUUGAUGAGGAGUCGUUCUACAUCUUUGCAUUCCUGUUCACUGCUGCAACAAUCAUUGCUGCCGUAAUUCUUGCACGAAAAACAACACUCAAAGACCAUGGUCAUGUGGACUAAGAAUAUGAUUCGGCAGGAAUGAUACGGUGGUGAUACGCUGUGUAUGAACAGAGGUGAUGCACUAUGUAUGAACAGAGGAGAUAGCCUGUGUAUGAACAGAGGUAAUGUCCUCUGUAUCACACUAUUUUUAUGAAAAGAAAACCCUUGUGCAAUAUGUUUCUAUUGAGCACACCAACAUGUUGAGUUAAUAUGAAGAUGAAACUACAUGUAUUUCUCAGCCAACUUAACAUUUUCAGUACAACAUAAUUUAUUUUCUUUUGUCAGUAAGAAAAUCUCUUAUACCCUCUUAUGUAAAGAAAGUGAACUAUUAGUGUGAAUUUACAUUUUGCAUCUGUUUUUAUCAUGUUUAUCAUCUAUUAUUUGAGGGAUUUGAUGAGGAUGAUAUGUGAGAUGAAUGCAUCUAAUCCCGACUUUGUCAUGUUAUAUUUAUUUUUCUUGGUUGUGAGUAUACCAGUACUACAAGCAUGUUUAUCUAUAUGUCCAUCUCUUGUUUGAUUGUUUUGCUCUGCAGUCAUGUAAUACUUACAGAGAAACCUUGAAAGCUGAUGCUAUUAGUAUUAUCUGGAUAUAUUAUUUUAAAGACAAAGUGGUCCAGGCAGAAGCUUCAUUGAAACAUUUUCUGAAAAAAAGCACUGUACUUGUAGUGACUCCCAGUCAAAAUGAGUCGACAGUGAUGUACCUAGCAGAGAUGCCAACCCUUAUAGUGUUAUGGUAGAUACUGAAUUGAUCCAUUACUAUUGCUUUAAGAAAAUUUGAAAAAAGAAAACUGGUUAUCAAAAAUCAUAUUAAUCAUUAAAAAAUGGAUUACCUGGGUGAACAGAAAAAAAUGACUUUAUGCCAUUGUGGGAAUAUAUUUGUUCUCCUCAGUGGCCAGUAAUUAUCCUUAAGACUGCAGGAAGUUUUUCAGAAAAUCCCAAAUAGGAAAUUAUAGAUUUUCCAUUUAUUAUAUUUAUUUAGAACUUAAGUUUAGUCUUUGUAGACAGAGAAAGACACUUUAAUGCUAGUUUAACAUUGUUGCACUGUGUAAACACACAAAAUGACACCAUGUGCUGGAGUUGAAUGUCAUUGUUACAAAAAACCACAAAGGAAGACAAAACAAUUUCAUUGCAAAUGUAGGGAUUCUGUAUGUUGUUGUGCUUUCUUGUGGAUUGUGCCAUUUGAUAAGAGAUUUAUUAACCACACCAAUGUAAGGUUGGCAUCUCUGACCUAGCCGAUAAAUAACAAUACUCUACUGACGACUUACUAGUGGGCCGGUGGGGUAGCCUAGUGGUUAAAGUGUUCGCUCUUCACGCCGAAGACUCGGGUUCGAUUCCCCACAUGGGUACAAUGUGUGAAGCCCAUUUCUGGUGUUCCCCGCCAUGAUAUUGCUGGAAUAUUGCUACAAACGGCGUAAAACUGAACUCACUUACUAGUGCAGGAGCGAUUGAUCCCGUUAUUGCCCACAUGAAUUUUGUGGUGGUGUUUACAGCUACAAUUGAUUAUUAAUCAAUAACUGAGCUCCAAUUAUCAAUCUGCAUAUUGUGGGUGAUAACCAUCACUAAUACUGACUGAUAUACUUUAUAUAUAUUACUUUGUACCAAUAAUAGUUAUCAACAUUGUAUGUGACAAGCUUUCAACUGGUCGGUGAUCCAGUAUGUAUUUCAAUACUUGUAAAAAGGCUACUUACCCUCAAAUCAUACUUGGUGAGCAACAGGUAGAACCACUAUACUGUAGGGUUGCCAGGAGCGCUUAAUCUGAUCACUGACUUGUUGGUUUUUGAUGUCCUCUAAGACCAUGAGUAGCCUAGUGGUUAAAGCGUUCGCUCAUCACGCCGAAGACCCAGGUUCAAUUCCCUACAUGGGUACAAUGUGUAAAGCCCAUUUCUGGUGUUCCCUGCAGUGAUAUUGCCGGAAUAUUGCUAAAAGUGGCGUACAACCAAACUUACUCACUCCAAGACCAUGAUGAUCUUGUGUCUGCUAGCAUUUUAUGUUUCCAUCCUUGUGUUUCAACCUGUGAAUAUUUCAUGUUAGUUUCCAAUGUAGCUUGGCUGUUCAGUGCAAUAUUGAGAAACGGGUUGUGUUUUUGUGCAAUACACUGGUGAUCGCAUUGUUUACCAAGUCUCACUGUAUUAUAUAUUGUACUUUAUGUUUAUAUCCAAUUGAUAUUUAUUUUCCUCUUUACCCAAUGCAGUGUUGUGUUGAUCUCAUACAUUUACACUUAUUUAUAUCUCGGUUUGUUUGUAUUUUGAAUUUUUCUGCUUAUCCUAGUCUCACAAGGACUAAAAUGCAAAAGGAAGAUUUUUUUGUCCCUGCUUUAAUAGUUGUUGUGAAAUUUGGUAAAGGGCCUGAACCUAAUUCCCCAAUCCUCUUAAAAAGAAUUUGGAUCUGAAAAUUGAAAAUAUAAUACAUCUUACACAUACAGGAGAGUCAUCCAGGACAUACAGGUCAUAUUACUAUUAGCAUUAUUAUUGAUUUGUCUUUUUUUAGAUGAACAAUACCAAUCAUAUUCAGUAUUUUUGCUGAAGUCGGUCAAUUCAUGAUUGCACUUUGUCAGAGUUAAAGAACAAUAAAAAUCAUAAUAACGUCUAAAAGGAAUGUUUGGAAAGAGCAGUGUAGGGUUUGUUGUUUCUGUUUAUGGUUAAUCCUGUUAAUCCAGAUAGUAGUGUCCACAAUCCAAAGGUCAGAACUACCAGUAAUAUUUUCUCACCUGAACUAUCAUUUUACCCAGUUUGAACAGUGACGGAAAGAGUCCUGAAAACAAAGCAUCCAGAUUAAUAGAGUCUGGGUUCUCCAGAUUUCACUGUAGGUACAAAUUUCAGUGUGCAAUAUGUAUUUAUUGAAGUUGCUCAUUUGUGAUCCCAUCGAUGCUGCUUCUUACUGUAUAAUGUUGGUGAAAUAAACUGGUUGAAUUUUGACA